rnacentral:lncRNA from 1 species
UCAGUCUGGGCCUCUUGUUCUGUUGAACAGGUGUAGUAGGUGCUAGUCUGCAGGGUGGAGUUGAGGGCCUGAGGUUCCCUGCUGCUUGAGAGAAAGUACAGAGGCUCCUCUCCACUAACUGUGCCUUAGCCAGAACAGCCGAAUAAGUACUGAGCUCAAGCACAAAUAAUUGCUGUCUGAUCUCUGGAUGGAGACGCCACUCGAACCUUCUAGUCUUUCUGCCUUCAUCCAACAAUGUCUUAGAAGAAUAUCGGCCCAACUCUAGGAACUUGCAAGCAUAUUCUGAUACAAUCAUGUUCUCCUAGACCAACUGUACAAACUCUAUCUCUUUCAGAUGUCGA